UAGGGAAUCUUCGGCAAUGGACGGAAGUCUGACCGAGCAACGCCGCGUGAGUGAAGAAGGUUUUCGGAUCGUAAAGCUCUGUUGUAAGAGAAGAACGAGUGUGAGAGUGGAAAGUUCACACUGUGACGGUAUCUUACCAGAAAGGGACGGCUAACUACGUGCCAGCAGCCGCGGUAAUACGUAGGUCCCGAGCGUUGUCCGGAUUUAUUGGGCGUAAAGCGAGCGCAGGCGGUUAGAUAAGUCUGAAGUUAAAGGCCGUGGCUUAACCAUAGUACGCUUUGGAAACUGUUUAACUUGAGUGCAAGAGGGGAGAGUGGAAUUCCAUGUGUAGCGGUGAAAUGCGUAGAUAUAUGGAGGAACACCGGUGGCGAAAGCGGCUCUCUGGCUUGUAACUGACGCUGAGGCUCGAAAGCGUGGGGAGCAAACAGGAUUAGAUACCCUGGUAGUCCACGCCGUAAACGAUGAGUGCUAGGUGUUAGACCCUUUCCGGGGUUUAGUGCCGUAGCUAACGCAUUAAGCACUCCGCCUGGGGAGUACGACCGCAAGGUUG
rnacentral:rRNA from 1 species